GAUGAACGCUAGCGGCAGGCUUAACACAUGCAAGUCGAGGGGUAUAGGUUUUCGGACCUAGAGACCGGCGCACGGGUGCGUAACGCGUAUGCAAUCUACCUUUCACAGAGGGAUAGCCCAGAGAAAUUUGGAUUAAUACCUCAUAGUAUAGCAGUUUCGCAUGAAACUACUAUUAAAGUAUCAACGGAGAAAGAUGAGCAUGCGUCCCAUUAGCUAGAUGGUAAGGUAACGGCUUACCAUGGGUACGAUGGGUAGGGGUCCUGAGAGGGAGAUCCCCCACACUGGUACUGAGACACGGACCAGACUCCUACGGGAGGCAGCAGUGAGGAAUAUUGGUCAAUGGACGCAAGUCUGAACCAGCCAUGCCGCGUGCAGGAUGACGGUCCUAUGGAUUGUAAACUGCUUUUGUACGAGAAGAAACAACAUUACGUGUAAUGUCUUGACGGUAUCGUAAGAAUAAGGAUCGGCUAACUCCGUGCCAGCCGCCGCAGUAACAC
rnacentral:rRNA from 1 species